UACGUAGGGUGCAAGCGUUAUCCGGAAUUAUUGGGCGUAAAGAGCUCGUAGGCAGUUUGUCGCGUCUGCUGUGAAAACUGGAGGCUCAACCUCCAGCCUGCAGUGGGUACGGGCAAACUAGAGUGCGGUAGGGGGAGAUUGGAAUUCCUGGUGUAGCGGUGGAAUGCGCAGAUAUCAGGAGGAACACCGAUGGCGAAGGCAGAUCUCUGGGCCGUAACUGACGCUGAGGAGCGAAAGCAUGGGGAGCGAACAGG
rnacentral:rRNA from 1 species